rnacentral:rRNA from 1 species
UACAGAGGUCUCAAGCGUUGUUCGGAUUCAUUGGGCGUAAAGGGUGCGUAGGCGGCGCGGUAAGUCGGGUGUGAAAUCUCGGGGCUUAACUCCGAAACUGCAUUCGAUACUGCCGUGCUUGAGGACUGGAGAGGAGACUGGAAUUUACGGUGUAGCGGUGAAAUGCGUAGAUAUCGUAAGGAAGCCCAGUGGCGAAGGCGGGUCUCUGGACAGUUCCUGACGCUGAGGCACGAAGGCCAGGGAGCAAACGGG